rnacentral:rRNA from 1 species
GGUUCAUCAAGACUUAAACAAAGAAUAGAUACGAUUGCAUUGCAUAUACUAACGGAUGCGAUCAUACCAGCACUAAUGCACCGGAUCCCAUCAGAACUCCGCAGCUAAGCGUGCUUGGGCGAGAGUAGUACUAGGAUGGGUGACCUCCCGGAAAGUCCUCGUGUUGCAUCCCUC